CCUUAAUGGAGAGUUUGAUCCUGGCUCAGGACGAACGCUGGCGGCGUGCCUAAUACAUGCAAGUCGAGCGGAUUGUUCCUUCGGGAACAGUUAGCGGCGGACGGGUGAGUAACACGUAGGCAACCUGCCUGCAGGAUCGGGAUAACUACCGGAAACGGUAGCUAAGACCGGAUAAGUGAUUUUGACGCAUGUUGAGAUCAAGAAACACGGAGCAAUCUGUGACCUGUAGAUGGGCCUGCGGCGCAUUAGCUAGUUGGUGAGGUAACGGCUCACCAAGGCGACGAUGCGUAGCCGACCUGAGAGGGUGAACGGCCACACUGGGACUGA
rnacentral:rRNA from 1 species